CGUCGGGGUCUCCUCAUUGUGCAUGCUGUGUGUAUUUCUCUGACCGCCACACAGCGCCUGCAAUGUGGAGGUCGAGACA
rfam:Poecilia formosa, whole genome shotgun sequence.